rnacentral:tRNA from 1 species
ACAAUCAAUCUAUCUACCUAGAAUCCUAAUCGUAACUAAAUCUUCGAUUUUUUUUUGUCGAGAAAAGAUUGA